rnacentral:rRNA from 1 species
GAUGAACGCUGGCGGCGUGCCUAAUACAUGCAAGUCGAGCGAACGGACGAGAAGCUUGCUUCUCUGAUGUUAGCGGCGGACGGGUGAGUAACACGUGGAUACCCUACCUAUAAGACUGGGAUAACUUCGGGAAACCGGAGCUAAUACCGGAUAAUAUUUUGAACCGCAUGGUUCAAAAGUGAAAGACGGUCUUGCUGUCACUUAUAGCUGGAUCCGCGCUGCAUUAGCUAGUUGGUAAGGUAACGGCUUACCAAGGCUACGAUGCAUAGCCGACCUGAGAGGGGGAUAGGCCACACUGGAACUGAGACACGGUCCAGACUCCUACGGGAGGCAGCAGUAGGGAAUCUUCCGCAAUGGGCGAAAGCCUGACGGAGCAACGCCGCGUGAGUGAUGAAGGUCUUCGGAUCGUAAAACUCUGUUAUUAGGGAAGAACAUAUGUGGAAGUAACUGUGCACAUCUUGACGGUACCUGGUCAGAAAGCCACGGCUAACUACGUG